rnacentral:tRNA from 1 species
UGGCUCAAUUAGUAAAGCAUCUGCCUGCAAUGCAGGAGACCUGGGUUCAAUCCCUG